rnacentral:rRNA from 1 species
UACGGAGGGUGCUAGCGUUGUUCGGAAUCACUGGGCGUAAAGGGCGUGUAGGCGGUCUGUUAAGUCUGGUGUGAAAUCCCCCCGCUCAACGGGGGAACGGCGCCGGAUACUGGCAGACUCGAGUACCGGAGAGGAAGGUGGAAUUCCCGGUGUAGCGGUGAAAUGCGUAGAUAUCAGGAGGAACACCGGUGGUGUAGACGGCUUUCUGGACCGUAACUGACGCUGAGACACGAAAGCGUGGGUAGCAAACAGG